rnacentral:rRNA from 1 species
AUUGAACGCUGGCGGCAGGCCUAACACAUGCAAGUCGAACGAGUGGCGGACGGGUGAGUAAUGUCUGGGAAACUGCCCGAUGGAGGGGGAUAACUACUGGAAACGGUAGCUAAUACCGCAUACCAUCGGAUGUGCCCAGAUGGGAUUAGCUAGUAGGUGGGGUAACGGCUCACCUAGGCGACGAUCCCUAGCUGGUCUGAGAGGAUGACCAGCCACACUGUAACGGAGCCACGGUCCGGACGCCUACGGGAGGCAGCAGUGGGGAAUUGUGCACAAUGGGAUCAAGCCUGAUGCAGACAUGCCGCGUGGUUGAAGAAGGCCUUCGGGUUGUAAAGUCUUUUCAGCGAGGAGGCGUUACUCGCAGAAGAAGCAACGGCUAACUCCGUGCCAGCAGCCGCGGUAAUUC